rnacentral:rRNA from 1 species
UUAGUGGAAGCGUCUGGAAAGGCGCGCGAUACAGGGUGACAGCCCCGUACACAAAAGCGCAUGUGCUGUGAGCUCGAUGAGUAGGGCGGGACACGUGGUAUCCUGUCUGAAUAUGGGGGGACCAUCCUCCAAGGCUAAAUACUCCUGACUGACCGAUAGUGAACCAGUACCGUGAGGGAAAGGCGAAAAGAACCCCGGCGAGGGGAGUGAAAAAGAACCUGAAACCGUGUACGUACAAGCAGUGGGAGCACCCUUUGGGGUGUGACUGCGUACCUUUUGUAUAAUGGGUCAGCGACUUAUAUUCUGUAGCAAGGUUAACCGUAUAGGGGAGCCGGAGGGAAACCGAGUCUUAAUUGGGCGUUAAGUUGCAGGGUAUAGACCCGAAACCCGGUGAUCUAGCCAUGGGCAGGUUGAAGGUUGGGUAACACUAACUGGAGGACCGAACCGACUAAUGUUGAAAAAUUAGCGGAUGACCUGUGGCUGGGGGUGAAAGGCCAAUCAAACCGGGAGAUAGCUGGUUCUCCCCGAAAGCUAUUUAGGUAGCGCCUCGUGAAUUCAUCUCCGGGGGUAGAGCACUGUUUCGGCUAGGGGGCCAUCCCGGCUU